rnacentral:rRNA from 1 species
CACUCCUACGGGAGGCAGCAGUGAGGAAUAUUGGACAAUGGGUGGAAGCCUGAUCCAGCCAUCCCGCGUGCAGGAAGACGGCCCUAUGGGUUGUAAACUGCUUUUAUCUGGGGAUAAACCUACUUACGUGUAAGUAGCUGAAGGUACCAGAAGAAUAAGCACCGGCUAACUCCGUGCCAGCAGCCGCGGUAAUACGGAGGGUGCAAGCGUUAUCCGGAUUUAUUGGGUUUAAAGGGUCCGUAGGCGGACUGAUAAGUCAGUGGUGAAAUCCGACAGCUUAACUGUCGAACUGCCAUUGAUACUGUUAGUCUUGAGUAAGGUUGAAGUGGCUGGAAUAAGUAGUGUAGCGGUGAAAUGCAUAGAUAUUACUUAGAACACCAAUUGCGAAGGCAGGUCACUAAGUCUUAACUGACGCUGAUGGACGAAAGCGUGGGGAGCGAACAGGAUUAGAAACCCCUGUAGUCCCAUGAU